AUCCAACCUGGCCUGGAACACUGCCAGGGAUGGGGCAGCCACAGCUUCUGUGGGCAGCCUGUGCUAGGGUCUCACCAGCCUCUGAGUAAAGAGCUCCUUCCCAAAAUCUAAUCUGAAUCUCUCCUCUUCAGUAUUAGCAAAUACAUACCCAAAAAAACCAUUUUCAGUCCUUUACCUACGGUGCUACCCACAGUGGCCAAAAACCUGCUUAGUUUGUGCAGAAACGCAGGUGUGACAGUACCAUUACAACUGAUAUGGGAAGCACGAAUGCCUUGACAUGUGGAAGAAGUUUAAUAACCCAUGAAAAAGACAGAAUAAGCUAUCAGAAUCUCUUUCACAAUUACCUUCCUUUUUACCAACUUGAUAAAACUGUAUGCUAUCCCCACUACCUUCUCUUCCUACCUUUGCCACUGCCAGCAGAGAAAAACUAUUUAUGGGGAACAAGAAACAUUAAUAGAUUGACAUAAUAAUAAUAAUAAUCACCUUUGAAAACUAACUUAUGGGAAUUAUAGCUGUAAAAAACUCUGGACAUACAGUAGUUCCAUUGAUUCCUGUAAAUAUAAACUCAUGUCCCUCAGAAGGGCAGCCUUAAAUAACUGACAAUAUUUCCCCAUCUUGCAGAUUUCUUCACACUCAAUUUCCCUGUGACAACAGAUGUUCCUGUUGUAGUGAUGGGUAUCUUGGUCUGAGAAGCUUGAGGCUCCUGACAUACAGGUAUAUCUGGAAAUAGCCAUUACGAAAAGUCUGACCUUUAACAAUACUGCAAAAAUAUUUUAGCUAUUUAACCUGAUUAAACAUUUCUUACUGAAGACAGGCCUCAAAUACCUGUUCUCCUGGUGGAAAACUUAGGGUGGAGGUGAAAAAACAUCUGAAACAUCUGGAUUCUCUUUGUCCUCUUUCUUGGACCACAGAUUUCACUGUAACUCUAUUUUGUCAAAGGUAUUUCAAGGUAACUGUCAUGGUUUAACCCCAGCCCACAACUAAGUACCACAAAGCUGUUUGCUCACUACCUGUCCCACCCUCACGGGAUGGGGAGGAAAACUGCAACGAAGGAAUAACCCAUGGGCCAACUUAAAAACAGUUUAAUAACUGAAAUAAAAUAAUUAUUGCAAUGACAAGGGAGACAACAUAAAGAGAGAAACAAGACCCAAGACACAAGUGAUGCACAAUGCAAUUGCUCACCACCCUCUGAUGCCCAGCCCAUCCCAGAGCAGUGACCAGCACUUCCCAGUUUAUACACUGGGUGUGACACUCUGUGGUUUGGAGUAACUCUGUGGUCAGUUUAGGUCAGCUGUCCUGGCUGUGCCCCCUCCUGGCUUCUUGUGCAUCUCCUCACAGGCACAGCAUGGAAAACUGAGGAGUCCUUGACUCGCGGUGAGCACUGCUCAAGAACAACUAAAGCAUCAGUGUGCUAUCAGCACUGUUCUCCAAAACACAGCCCCGCCCCAGGAAGAAAAUUAACUCUAUGCCAGCUGCAACAGUAACAAUAGCACAAGCAAUUCUGCUGCCUUAAACAGAUUCACCUUUAUGCCUUUGAUUUUUGUUAGCUACUCAUUCAAGAUCCCUUCACCUGCAGAAUGUCCGUCCUACAACAAAAACUCAAGAGAGAAUAACUGGAAGUAAGUGGUUGCCAUCCACCCAGAUUCCUGUAGUUUUGUCACUGCUUCCUUUUCAACUGCAGACACUUUUAAGUUAAAUCCCCCCUGCUUUGGCAAUCAAGCUGAGCACUUCAAGUCCACAGGUUUGUCAGGCUUGUGUGAAUCACACAGGGCACGCAGAGAAGGACAACUCAAGAGAUGAAAAUAGACACUAACCUCACAAGUGGGGAUUUCAGCCCUUGUAUUUUCUUCCUGACAGCCUAAUGUUCUCAAAAAUAUUUUGGGUACUUUCCAGAUUUUUGCCAGGCUUUAGCACCCUUGGCAGCAGCCUUCAGCAGAAACAGUCAAAACUUCUCCCAACCAUUGAAUUAUUAAUUACUGACUAAAAUGCUGCUCAAAUCCAGCCCAUAGUGCUUUCUUUUAAAAAUUAAUCCCAGAGUAAGAUCAUCAAGUGCUGCCAGCUGGAGCUGAUGGGCAGAACCCAAGGAAAAGGGGAUGUUGGAACCAACCAGUGCUGCCAGAGUGGCAGCGUCUCCUCUCCCUUUUACUAUGUGUUUCCUUUCUAGAAAGCCUACUACUAUAGAUAGAUGUUUAAACUGUACAGCACAACAAUUGGCUAUUUUUAGCUGCUAUUUAAACCUAAACUGUAACCAAUCUGAGUAAAACCCAGCCAUGUAAAUAGGAAGAUUAACUACCAGCUUCAAAGAGCGUUUCUUUAAUGGAUCAAAUUAAUAGGGAAAAGAUCUUUCACAAAUGAGGUUUAAUUACCAAGUGAAGUCAUUGUUGCCUCAACACUGAAAUGCCACCAAAUUAAAAAAAAAAAAUUCUUUACUAUUGCAACUACUCUAAGCUUUGUCACAAUUGCAUAAAGUAAAUAAAACACCACACAUCAGCAUGUAUAGCUCACAAUUAAUUGUAGUCAAUUAAAUGACAUUGAAUUCCUGUAAAGAAAAUGUAUUUCCAAAGUGAGCACUCUCUCGACCAGAGGGGAAGGAAAGGGAGCUCAGGGAAGGGGAUUUUAAACAGUGAGGUGUGAAGUGCCACAAAAUCAGUUUAAAUAAAUCAUAUCACUUCUCUUAUCAGUUCUUUCAGAACUGCCCCUGUGUAAACUUCAUGAUCUUCACAACAGAAAUAGCAUUCUGUAAAAAAGGAGCCAAGCUCCAUUUAAAACGAACCCCAAACUUCAGAGCUGUGUUGCAGCCUUCUGCUGUCAGUCUGGCACAAAACAAAACACCUCAAGAGUCUGAAGAAAACCUCAGCUGCAGAGCGGAUUAUACAUGCAAUGAAAAUAUCAGAAAUGCCGGUACUGGACAGGAAAUUGCAUGCAUUUGCAGGUCUGAUUUUUCCUGCACAAAUUCAGUGCCAGACAUUCAUUUCCAUUUAGUAUUUCUACCACCAGAAUACAGAAGCAGACAAUCUUAAGCACGUUAUCCAUCAUAGCUCACUGAAAGCAGUUUCACUGACCCCUUUAAACCCAAUACCACUUUCCAUAUAUAAGAGAUGUUUACAUGCAAUACCUGAAUAAAAUCUGAGCUCCAGAAGAUAUUUGAGUUAGAGACCCAGAGCAAAAGGGUAUUUCAUGACCACGACUCACUGCAGCUGAACCAGGGCCUCAGCUAAAGGAUAUAACCCUGACUCCCACUCACUACCUCAAAUCAUGGUGAAUUGAAACAAAGUUUUACAGCAAGAAUUUGCCCAACAGCCUUGAGAGCAAAGCACACCAGCAACAACCCCGUGCCCAUCAGUUACAGAUGUUAACUCGAGUGCACAAGUCCUGUCAUCCUGGUCAUACAAACCAUCUGGGCCACGGCAUCUCCCAAAUAACACAUUGUUUCCCAUACCAUCCCAAACACCCCUCCACAGCAGAUUCCUACAAGUGAGCCCCCAAUUGUCUAAAUGCAGCCCCAGUUUUUCAUCUCCUUGAGUGAAAAACUAAUCAACGGCCACAGAUAUAAGCUUAGUUCCUUCUUAUAUACCAAUGGCAAAUAGACAAAAAAAAAAAAAAAACCACCACCAAAAAACCCCUGGAAAAUACCACCAGUAACUAGUAAAUUUUGGUUGAAAAUAAUCAGAUAAAAAAUGGUCAAUGGAUAGAACUUAAAAUGUGUAGCAGUCAACUUUGUCUCCUUCUAGCUUUUAAAAUCACCACCCAGUGUUACGAUAUUUUUUAUACGGUGUACAUAAUAUUAGUUUAACAAAAAAAAAAAAAAAAAAGGAGGUUUCCUUUAUGUCACUUUGCUGUGGUUAUAGAUUUUCUAGCUUUUCUCCCAUUCUAACUUACUGGUCCUCUAAUCAGGUACAUUUUGCCCUGUACGUGUUUUCCAUUCCCAUGUAAAAUAACUAUUGUACAUGAUUAAUUAACCCAGGCUCAUCUUUCUUGAUACAGGUUUUGAGAACAUCCUGAAAUAUAAACAUCUUCUCAUAGCAAUUCACAUUCCUCUCUUUAGAUUUGCUUUCUACAACCAAGUGGCCUUGUAUUUAUCACAUUAUUUGUUAUUAAAGUUUCAUAGAAAUAUACCAUGUAGGAAACAAGCAAUCCAAAUUAGCAACGUGCCUCAAAUCUGGUAACAUCUCCUUAUUGAACUUGAACCAGUUUUCAGUUCCAACAUUAACUGCCAUCAUUUGCCAGUAAAAGAUUCAGAUAUUUCCAUGUUAGUAACAAUCUCUCCUCUCAGACUAGUCUGGGAAAUAGCUGGCUUAGAAAUGGAGUCACAAAAACUACAUCCACUAUAACAUAGCUUCAUUUUUUCUUCAUUACACAAAAAAAAGAUGCAAAUACUACAAUACAGUAAUAUACUAAAAGUAUAUGACAUCACAAUGGUAUUGGAACUUUAGACAGUACACCUGCAAGUGGUCUCACGUUUAACUUUUAAGGCUGAAUUCAUUCCUGUGGUUGGUACAAAACUUGGUCACCUUUUCAGGCCCAGCCUAAGCCAGGUAUUUCUGGCAGCACAGCUGAACAGGACAGAGGGGCAGCUCCUGGUCUGAAGCCAUACCCUGCAGAACACCCAGAACAACCAGCUGUGUCCAUGUGGAAUGUGAAGGGCUCAGUCCUGGGCAUGGCCACACCAACCACUCUCACCUACAGCCAAAGAGUGUUAGGACAGAGCUGGACUCUCCUGACUCUGCUGAAUACACAAUCACUUGGGGUUUUUUCACUGUUUGUAAGAUCUGUGUUUUGUCCAGAGCUGCUCGCCAUGAUACUUGCUAAAUUAUUCCUCCAUGGAAAGAAGGCCCAGGCAAGCCCAGCACUUUGCACAGAGAAACUAGUGCCCUAUAGACAACUUCAUACGAAAAACUGAUUUAUGAUGAAAGAGAACACCACUCAAAUCCAGUUACUUAGAUAUAUGGAGAGCUGAUCAACUUCAGUGAGGGGGGACAGAGCUGCAAUGUCAGCACCAUCUAUCAAGUCUUGAGACAAACACAAACAUCACCCAGAGUCACAGGCAGCCCCGAGAGGCCCAUUCCCUCUCCCUCCCAGCCCUGCAGUGACAUACUUGCCUGGCCUGACCAGCAGCCCAGACUGUUCAUCCCUCAGCAGGCAAACUUUUUCCAAAUUGGUUGGGAGGGGUGCUCCUUCCUCCUAUUGCAGCUCUACAAAAUUAGUGCACUCUCUCAGCUGCCAAUUCUCCAUGAGCUCGGGGUUACAGCUUUGACCCGCCUUUGACGUGAUUUCCUUUUAAAGUAUUAUUGCUUUAUGACCAAUUUUAUUUACUAGUUCUUCUUAUGUUAUAGUCUGUGUAGAGCGCUCUUGUGAGGAAAAAAACCCCACACUCAAGUCUCGUGUGUAAUCAGAAGCAUGUGAUUACACAGAAGAAAGUCCUGCUCUUCAUGAAUUAAUGAACAUCACAGCCCACUAAUCCAACUCAGGAAAAGAACUCAGAAAUUCUUUACAUACAGUAUGAAUGAUUUAAAAGAGAUUUAACUGCAGAAACUAACGUAAUAUCCAAGCAGAGACAACACCACUGCAUGUAAACUAUCAAAAUUCAUUCCUUUGUAUAUUUCUUUCUAACACAGCAAUUUAAACCAUUUUUUUUACAUGAGGGUAAUUACAGGCAUUACCCAUAGCUUGACUGCCACCAAAACAAAUCCCUAACUGAUAAAACUCUAACAAAUCAGGAGAGCAAGCAGGCAGGUCAGCCUGGAUUAGCUACAGCAGCACAAACGCUCUGAAAGCCACUGCCGUUUGCAAAAUUAGAGUGGGGAGAGGCAGCGAGAGGAGACUCCACUGGGCUGCACAUCAGCUCACGUCUUACUGUUGACACCACAAAGUCCAUAUAAACACCCAUCCUGCAGACAAAUUACAGCACAGGCAGCAGAGCCUUAAAGCCCUGCAGCCAGCACAGGACCACGCUGUCAAGAUAAUCCAUCAUUUGGAUUUGGCCUUGAAUUGACCUGAAACCCCCACUACCUCCCCACAUAGAAAGUGUGAGUGAGUUAAGAAGGGAAAAGCUUAAAUAUUGUAAUUUCUAAUUUGGAUCAUGGUGAAGUGAUUCUAUCAUGUUUUACUAUACAACCUAACCCACUGAUAGGUUACCUUUGAAUCUUAAUUUACUGUUUUAAAAUAACCACAUGGCAUACAGUGGUAAUAUGUAAGAAAAUUCUUUUUUUUUUCCAGCUAGGUUAUUUGGCUUUUUCCUUGAAUAUAUCUUUCCCCCCCCUAAUUAGCUGUGCUCUACCCUUCAGGAUGAAAAGUACGUGGCAGUUAAAUUGUGUUUAUUAUUACAGAAAAAUCAGAGCUAUUCAAAAGAGAUAUCAGAACACGGGCUUGACAGAACUAGACACUAAGUGCUCUCCUCCCUUCAGUCCUUCUGCUUUUGCUUCUACCAAGCUCACAAAAAAUGAUACAAAACAUAACCCCAAGAUAUCUGUCAGGCUCUCAGAUAAUAAUGUUUUAGCUAAGAACUGGUCUACCUUCAGACAGAUGCAGACUCUUGAUAAAGUAAGUAAUUUUAGUCUAAAUCAUGGCAUUAAAUUAUGUAUCUUCUGUUUUGUUCACCGCAUUCAGUUUUCUAGACUGGAGGCUGGACAUUUUCCCUCACUGCUUCCAUCCAAAUUCUCAUCCCUUUAACUCAAGUUUCUCAACUGCUUUCAGCUAACAGGGUAUUUUGUAAUCAAAAGUUUUAAAAACAGAAAAAAAAAAAAAAAAGAAAAACCAGAAGAUAUAAAAUCUUAGUUUUCUGUAUGAAUAAAGAACAAACAGACCCACUAAGCAGUCAAGAGAAGCAUUUACAACAAUAGGUAGGACAAAAAGCCUGCAGCAAUGUCAGCUCAGCAUCCAGUUGACUCAGUAGGGUGCAAGGAAAAAGUCAUUUCUGAAGGACUGAGCACCAAAAUUCCUAUCUCCAGCUAAACCAUUCUUUUCUUAGUGGGGGCUGCAGUCUUUAUAUCUGAUGUGGAUUACUUCUUCUCUUCCUCAGACCAUAUUCCCAUGUCUUCCAAUGGAGGAGAGCAAAGAGCAAACAUAAGGAGGUAAGCCUCUAGUAACUCCCUGUCUAGCAUAAUAGUCCAUUUACUACUCUCAUUAGUGAGCAAAAACAGGAGGCUUGGCCUCAAAUCCUUUUGCUUCUUGAAAUGCACAAAUUUUCAGAGUGGCAUCAGUCUAGUUUUGGUUUAGGACUGACGAUGAAAGAACUCAUUAUGGUAAACAAAAUGGGUCAUCUUUUUCAGGUAACACUUCCAGGAUUAUCACAAAUGGAAUAAAAAAAGUUAUUUAAGUAAGUUGCUUGGUAAAAUCUUCCACUAUUGUAAUUAUAAUCAGUGCUGCUGACUCAGUAUCCUCAGUUCUUCACUUGAAGUUCAGGCUCGAUUUUAAUGCAGUGAGUUAAAAGGUUUGUUGUAACAUUUCUCAAAAUGCUUAAGGAGCAUUCAUUCACACCAAAUUAAACAGAAGCUGCACAGUAUCUCUGUUAAUACACACACACACACACACACACACACAGACAGAGUUUGUUAUGCUUUGGUGUCUUUACUGGCCGACUGAUGGACCAUCUUGAAGCACCAGUUCUUCUCCAGUGCCAGCAAAGCCAUUUUGAGUGUCUUGGUACUAAAAUAUCUCAAGGUUUUAAAAGGCUACAUUUCAGUACAAGUCCCAGUGUUACCAGACUUCAGCAGGAAGAAAGGACAGAUCAUGCACAUAAUGAAACUGCUCUUUAUCAAAGCACUUUCUCUGAGAUCUCAAACCCAACCCCCAGGCUGGUAUGAACAGGCAUAGCUUCAACUGAGGCUGUGGCUCCACAUCAAAGAACCUUGAAGUGUUCGUCACCUACGUAAACUGCAUUCAAAAAAUACAUAUCCUGGCAUGCAUUCACUUGAUUCCAUGUUCCAAAUGAUUUCAGAAUGUGAUUUUCAUAGAGAUUUUUAUUCCAAGCUAAAUAGCAGAGAUCUCAGUAGAGGAAAACCUCAACAGGCUUCAUAUCCCAUGGUAAUUUGGAAACCUGUAUCUUCCUUGAUUUUUCAGUCAUUAGUUAAAGUGCAAAGGCUCACCUUCUCUCCUGGGCCAUUUCUGUAGUCCCUGGUGUCAUAAAACCUCCCUGUGUCUCCCAUUUCAGAGCGGAACUCAAUGGAAAACUCAGAUUCUCCUACAUUCUCUUCCACCCACUCUAAUACAAAGGAAGUUUCGCAGGAGAAGCUCGAAAGGCUCAAACUUUCUCAGAUUCAAAAGGGAAAGGGUUGUUAUAACACGAAAAUAUGAUUAAGGUCCAAGUUCUUUCCAUGCAUUACCUAGGUGGUUUUUCUGAGGCAUGCAAACAUCUGCCCAUAUAACUGUGUAUAUGAAGAUAAAAGGUGCAGUUGAGCUGAUGACUUGGAAUCUGGAACAUUCCUUCCUUUUGGACACCAGCUUGCUAGGAACAGGUAUGGGUUACUGUGCCUUCUUUAAGGCUCCUGCAAGAUUUGUUUUUGUUUUGAAUCUGUUUGUUUUUUAAAGAACACAUCUUGUAAUUGGAUUGGUAUUUGCAUCUCCUUGGAAGAGCAGUAUCAUCAGGAAAAGCUUGAUGCUCUUGUAUACCACCCCUGAACCACAGGGGACUUCCCUCCUCGGUUUAUUGAGCAAUGCACACUUUACAACCAUGUAAAAAUUAUUUUGUUGGCAUAUCCUAACACCAAACUCUUUGGGAAUAAAUUAAUACUGCCAAAUUCUCUUCUGUAGCACAAAAAAAAAAAAAAUACACUCAAAAAUCAGCAGCUUCUGUCAUUCAAAGUCCCCUUUAAUAUCAAAAAUCUCAUGCAAGCCUACUUGAAAUCCAGCAUUCUAACAGAAAUUGUUUACAGCAAUAUUGGAAACAGCAAUAUCACUAUUGAGCAACACAAACACACUCAAGAAUUCAAUCCACUGUGUUACAUAGGCUCAGCAAGAGUCCUCCAGCCUAGAAGCACACCAAAGGGAACAUGUGCAAUCUUAAGAGUUUUGGGCUUACACUGCAACGCCACUGACAUUUGACAGCCUUAUUAAUAUUUAUUGACUAAUUUUUUUUUUCCAUUUCACCACCAGCAAUCAGAGUCUUGGAACUAGCCGCAUAAACUCCAGGCAUUAUAGUUCAAGGAUAGGGAGGAACAAAGGUCUGUGGUUGCUUUCACAAUGUGCAGGGGAGGAAGCAAGCAUCUGCAGGUGAAUUCAUGUGUUACACUGCUGACUGAGAGCGACACAUCACAGCAGGAUGGUCUCCUACGGCCCCUCUUCUCGUGGCAGUAGAAAGACAGCUUGGCACUGCUUCUCAGCUCCUUAAGGCUUACAAAGGACAUGCCACCUUAGCCUAGCCUAAGUAAACCCUUGAUGGGCACUUCUGAUAAGAGAGUAAUCAACCAGGACAUGGGGACGGUAAUUAAAUGAGAGAAUAAAAUGGGUUGUCCACUUCACACCUCCACCUUUAAACCAACAGUUGACUUAACUGCCACACUUAAGCUGCUGAUAACAGUUUGCAUCUACGUUUGUUCCCCCCACACACCUUCCAAAAAUGGUCCAGGAUGUGCCUCCAGAGACACCAGAACGGAAAAGCAUUUCUACAGAAGGCUGAGUUGCUAGAAAAGCUUGAAAGUACUUGAAACAAAAACCUCUUAUUAUUGCAUUACCCUGUUACAGACCCCCUAACAACCUGGACCAUCUGAUCACAGCUGCACUGGCCCUCCUGGCUAAGUGUGGACUGGUUGUUGGUAUUUCAGGCACCCCAACCAAGAGACCCAGACUGCAGACUGGAGACACUGUGUUUUAAAGGGCACAGCAAGCAUGACUGUAAACAAAAACCAGAAAACCCUCCUGCUGCUUCCAUCAGCAUACUGCCAAAUUAUCAGACCUUCACUGAUAAAAGGGAACCAAAGCACCAGCAGAGCGAAAUUAUGGAAAAUUUCUGCACCAGGCAAAUCCUCCACAGCUAUUCUUCCCUGAUUUUCAGCGCCUUGAUGCUGAUAAGGACGGGCAGUAGCACUAUGCUGUCCCCUUCAUCUUUAGUGGAAAACCAUUUCCGGUCAUUUUUAUUAAAGGGAUUAAUGAACCUUUUCAUGUUUGAGGCAGUGCAAAGAACAGACAACACAGGUAAGCCCUAUGGCAAGGCAAACAAUCCAGAAAAAUCCAGAAAGCAGUAAAACCACCUUUCUGUGAGCCAGAAACCACUCAGCCUUCCCCAUACCUGUGGGGAGACUCUACAGGAGAUUUACUGAAAGAUUCCUCCUCUUCUUACAGCCCAGAGAGUGUCACAGUAUACAAAGGGGUUUUGUAUUCACUUUCGACUCUAGUAAUGGUGGUUCAGUUCCACCAGCGCUGAAAGAAAUUAACAGACAAAAGCAGUGGCACAUACAAUUCUAAAGACCUCACACAGGUUUAAGAAUAAACAGGGGUAGCCACUGCCCUCAGAGCUAUCGGCACAGGAUACAGGCUUCUCAAACAGAUUCUGGAGCUGGACUCCAGCAGCAAAGAUCCAGCAGAAAACCCCCAGUCUUCCAAAUCAUCCCCCUUAGACACUAAAAAUUAAGUUUCAAGACCCAGCUCUGAGAAACUGAAAAGGUGAAGUUCUUCUGCAAGGCACUCCUGUCAGGAUAUUAAAUUUCAGUGGUUUAUACCAUCUUAAGACCCAGAAUGAACACUCCAGAAAUCACUUCUCAUUUUUAUUUAGCACCUAUAGCAUUAAAAAUAUGUAUUUUAUGCUAUACAGAUUUACAACACACUAGAAAAAAAUGAAUCUGGGUUACCUACCAGCUGCAAGCCGCUACAAAACGACUAAACCCAUAACCCUAAACGGCUCGUUUACUUAAAAAGGUACCAGAAUUCCUCUGCUUAAAUAGUGAAGUGUCACAGCACAGACCUGAGGAAAAACUUUUCAUUGCAUCAGCCAUCUGCACACUAGAGUUCGUUAAAAGAAUAUUGAGGAAAAUGUCAUACUUUUCAACAAAAGCCUUAAAUUUGGCUCAAAUGAGAGUCGAUGAGCAAACAAAGCUCCCAACAACUCUGUUUCACCCACUCCACGCACUGAAACACUCUCCUUGUAGCACCUGGGGGGAAACCCAGGAGCACAUCAAAGUGAUAUAACUACUGAAGAAUGGCUAAAGCCCAAAUAACUCAGUAUCUAAUCAUGGUGCUGAUGGCUUGAUUUCUCAGGGAAGCUUGACCCCUGUACAUAUAUGAGAAGCUUGAAACCACAUCAAAAAAUGGACUCAACAGGCUAGCAUAAAAGUCCACACCUCCAGAUACUGUUAUGACUAAAUUUCAUUUUAAAGAUUGAGACACAAAUUUGGUCAAAUUCCAUACUUUCUGAAUCUCACAGUAUAUAAUUAAGUAAACAACAAGCUUUACAUUAACUAUCAAGAGAUAAACACUAUCCACAUACAAGCAGAGGGAGAGGCAAGAAAUAAAAAGAUCUUAACCCAUGCCAAAAUUGAGGUGUACUGUAUACACAAUUAGCCAAAGUUUUAUCAGCAAAGAUGAUAAAGAACAGGACCUAAAGGACUUCUCCCUUUAAGGUAUUCUGAAUAUGGACACUAUCAAACCUAAAGCCUUCAAAAACCCAGAUUUUUGAGAAAUGAUUGAGAUUUCCACGAAGUUCUCUGCUAAGCUCAUAUCCUUCCUUUUUUGCUUAGCCAUCUUCACUCAACUGUACAUCCAGAGCCCCCAGGAUGAACGUACCACAGACACAGCUUUAUGUUUUCCAUUAAAACCCUACAACAGGAGUAAUCUGAAUAUUCCUUUAUAAGAAACAUUCCCAACUCUGAACUCGGUCUGCAGGAAACAGAAAACAACAAAUUCUCUUUCUUAAGCCCUGCCUUUAGGAAGGAAGGAUAAGCUUUGCAUAGUGAUUCUUGCAUUCUGAAGAAAGCAGAUUACAUCCAGGAUAAGGAAAUUGCAAAAAAGAAAAAGUCCUCCAGUGGGGCAGAAUGUGCUUGACUCCGCUGCCUUUCCCGAAGGUGUCGUAGUACUAGAACCCCAAGACGUUUACAAUCAUAGAAUCACCGAGGUUGGAAGAGACCUUCAAGAUCAUCCAGUCCAAGCAUCCACCUGGCACUGCCCCUGCAGCCCCUAAACCAGGUCACCCAGCGCCUCUCAAGCACCUCCAGGGAUGGUGACUCCACCCCGCCCGGCCAGCCUAUUCCAAUGCCUGACCACCCGAACAGUGACAUUUUUAUUUUCUAGUAUCUAAUCUGAAUCUCCCCUCUCUUAGCUUAAGGCCGUGUCCUCCUGUCCUCUCAUUGCAGCCACGGCAGCAGAGACCAGUCCCCACCUCCCUACAACUUCCUCUCUGGGAGUUUUAGAGAGCGAUGAAACCCCCCCUGAAACCCAGCUCCCGCAGCCGCUCCUCACAAGACAUGUUUUCUAGUCCAUUUCCAGUUAAAGGGUUCAGAACCUCACUUUAAUUAAAGGGAACAGACAGCUCCACAGCCGGACAGCCCAGAAGGGGAACGGGCAGGGUUGUGUGUGUGAGCACUCUGGCGAGGCAGGAAAGGCACAGUUCCAGGCAGAGCGACCCCAUGGAGCUCAGCAUUUCCUUUACAUCUUGUGGACUUUAAGUGACCAUCUGGAGCUGAACCUUAGGAGACUACCCAGUUUGCAGCUCAGCGGUAAUGAUACCUUCAAAAAAAAGCAGCUUUGACAGGCAUAAGUGACAUUCUUGUGCUGCUGUGUGCUCGUGUGGUGACGUAAGAAACACCUGCAGGGCAAAGUGAUGGUGUUUCAGUACUGCACCUUCCUAACACUUCUGCUGUGGAUUCCCAACUUCCAGGUAACAAGCAGUUGUUUUUUGCAUGCAGUCAUGAGUGUUCUGUGUUUGGGGGGGGUUAUUUAUUCAUUUAUUUUUAACUUCAUUUAUUUAUUUAUUUAUUUAUAAGAAGAAGGAUAAAAAGCAGUGUCCAUGACAUUUGAUAGUAAUCACAAGGAGUUCCUGUAUGAAAUGAAUUUCUUCUGCCUGCAGCAGUCAGAUACACAGAAGAGGCACAGGUGUUUCUGACUCCUUUUAUUCCUUCAAGGUUUUCCAUCCAAACAUGGACAAAGCCCAGCUUUACUUUGCUUAUGAGCUGUGACAACACGAUAGCCCGUGGCAGCGUGGCUGUGAACUACUGAUAUUUCUGUUGUUCUGUGCUCACUGGAGCCUCGAGAAGAAAAACAAUCUAAGCAGGACUCAACCUUGAGUGUCUUGCAUAAGUACCAAGAAGCCCUCCCUAAGGGCUCACAGACAACUUUAUCAAAAUGAGGUUUAGGCAGCUGAAACAUAGGAAGAAAUUCAGUCAUGCACUGCAGCUGUGCAAUAUUUCAGUCCGUUCACAGAGUCACCGUAACAGCCCCUAAAGAACUUUCUGGAUAAAUAGGGGGGGGAUCUCCGGGUGGAUGAAGAAAUGACAAGGCCAGCUCAGUGUCACCUUCCCCAUCAGAGCCCCUGGAACACAUUGGGGGAGUUUUGGUAGUGAAGUGGUGAUAACAGAGGAACUUCCAUGCCUUACAGGAGGCUGGUGCAACUCAGAGCAGCCAUUGCAGCUUCUCUAAUCUGAAUGUGAGGUUGAAGUGGUUCCUGGUGAGCCUGGCACACUUGGAAGUGAAAGCCUCUUCUGCACUUUGACUGCAGUCUCAGUGCCCUUCAAAGACGAAGAGGCACUUGAUGUGGUCUGGACCAGGCACUGUCCAGUUGUAACCUCCAAAACCCACCCUACCCUACCCAGUAAGAUCUUAUUUUCAAUCCUGUCACUCUUUGAAUGACAAUUUUAGUGCCUAUAAUCAUGGGUGUCUUAGGAUCCCCUUGUGCACCUUUAUUACCACUAUCCAAAUUCACAUACGGUGCAAUACGUCAAAAGGGCUUCUCGUUGAGUAUUCUCACAUGAGGUUCUGAUCACUUUAAAUCACUUGGGCAUAACAGCUCGAGGUGUGUUAGUGACCCCUGAGCAAAAAUCACUGGAGAAAAAUCCCAGUCUACACUUCGCUAAUGCUGCUCAAAAGAUAUCAGAUUUCCCAGCAUGUACUGUCUGGGGAGCUGUGAAUAAGUGUUGUGGUCUCCUUACGAGACACAUUUCUUUCAUGCCAAACAUGCUUACCCCGAGCUCAUAAUAAAGAAUAAUGCUUCAAAACCCAGCUGUGUUUCAGAAGGGUGUUAGUGGAAACUUGUUCUGCAAUUAAGCAUUUCAUACUGUAGUAGUUCUUGAGAGAUGUUAAGCAAAUGCUCUCCCUUACACACAUCCUCCCCUUUAUUAAACUUUUGCGUCACUCCUCUGAAAUUCUGCAUAUACACUUUCUUUCCCGCUUUCCCAGUGGCUGAUAUCAGAAACUUAUUACAGUAUAUGAUGCCUCAGUCACUUUUCUUGACCUUUAUUGCUGCUCUAAGUUCAUACUCCAGCUUACGUUAGAGAACUUCCUGAACACAAUGGUGUUUGCAUAUGACUAAUUAGGGCAAAUGCUCAAGCUGAUGAGUCAGCAAACGGCUCGGCAAGGACAGCGGCAGCGACUUGGCAGCAGAACAAGUCGGAGUGAAGAUGUGAGAAGCCUGUGGCUUUGGAUGUGUUUGCUGAUGAGCCAGGUGUCACCGUGAUGGGCUCUGUCGGCAUUUACUCUCAGGAUCCAAAUGCAUCCCCAUCAAUAACGACUGUCAAAACUCCUGACUUCAGUGGGAAGAAAUCGGGGGGUUAAUUAAGGCAUCUUCCCUCCCGAGAACACUGACCAUUUCUGAGCAGGGACUCACCAGGCAGAGGGUGUUAAAGAGAAGCUUCAUUUAUAUCUCUGGAGCUGGCAGCUCACAUCACAGGGGUGUCACAAACAACCUCAGCACUGGCUUUCCUGGGCUUUUGCUUCAUUGUACAGCUUCAUUGUACAGCUUCAUUGUACAUUGUACAGGGAAUUAACACUCAUUGGUUCAAUAAUUAAGCUAUAAUGAAGGGUACAUUCUAGUCUAUCAAUAUUUGACAAAAACACCUGUCUUGCUCACAGCGCCACUGUGGAGUGUUGAUUUGACAGAGAAAUGACACGAGGUCUCAAAUGCUGUGCAGACCCAGGGCUCUGUGACACAGGCUAAUGGUUGUUACUACAACUUACUGUGCUUAACUUAACUGUGCAAGAACCUGAGAUGUUUGGUGGUCAACUCAUUCCACAAUAGAAAAAUGAAUUGAAAUUUGAAUCAAAUUCAAACUCAACCACUGGCAUUGGAAGCCUAAUGCUGCUGUUUCUCAAAUACGGAAUAUUGUCUGAAACAAGAGUACGUGAUGGGAGACACAAUCUCCCUUUGGCAACUGCUGUUUCCUCUGGUCUUUUCUAACCUCAGUAUUUCUCCUCUCCUUCUUGUGCCAAGAUCUUGUUUAUUUUUCCUUUCGCAUCUGCACAAUCCACAUUUUUUAAACUACGACCCCCUCUUCGAGCUUGCUCGGGUCAGUGUACACUUAGGCAUUUGGAAAUACUCUCUGGAUUGUUAUUUGUACACAGGUACCCCCAUAUGGUAACAAAUUCUGCAGUAUAAUAAAAGCACUAUGUCCAAUUCAGUGCAGUUAGAUUUGGGGAAGGAUUUUCUACCUAUGAAAGGAGUUUAACAGAUGAAAACGAAAGGCAAGCAGACACUCAGCAGGCUACACUGUACAGUUUCACCAGUCAGCUGCAUCCUGCCUAUCCCAGGUCCCUCCUGAGCAGAUACUGCCAAUUGCACAAUGGAUUUCCUGAUGUGGACAAAAACCAGCAUGGCAUUUUAAAUUUGUCCUUACAGAAAAGAUGGGUUUGUGGUCAAAGCCCUGAACAAAGACUCUGGGGGCCAAGGUUUGGUUCCAGGCUUCCUGGAAGACUCUAUGCGACUCACUUAGAGAAAGGCUUUCUGAUUUCAAUGUUUUGCCACAGUGCGGAGUGGAGGAAUCCACUGCGUGCUGUGCACGAAGUCCAGCUCCCCAUGCAGCAAAGUGGCAGAUCUGGAACCCUCAGGAAGCAGCUGAGGCAGGGAGCAACUGAGACAACCACAAUGUAAACACAGAAAAAAAGGAGUGCUGCGUGAUCCCAUGGCCUUGUCAAAACCAGAUCCAGGUUUUGGCUUUCAAGAUGUGUCUGUGCUCAGUAUCCCCAUCUGGUAACUCCACAUUGCAGUAAGUCACUUGGAAAAAGCAGGUGAAGUCUGGGGGCUAAAGUGCUCUCUUGGAGGUCAGAGAUGCUUGUUCAGCUUCUGUCCUGUCCAGCUCAGACCAAGGUUUGGCAAAAACUUUGGAAAAUCUUCCCUUUUUCUCUCCUCUGGGAACUGUUUUGAUUUAGCCCCGUAAGUGCUGUUUCCAGAGGAACGCUUGGAACAUGAAGAAGCUGAGUUUAAAUCCUCCCACCAAAACAGGCAAAAGAGAUUUGGGCAGAGCUUUCCCUGCUCAGAGUGCCUGAACAGUGGUUUUAUGUUCCUCGGUGUGAUCCUGAGUACUCCUGAGCUUACCAAGAGCUGUUUUCAUGGCCAUCUGUCUCACUGUGUGAGAUGGAGACACAAUCACCUCCUUUCCUCCUCUUCUCUGCUCACACACUUCAAGCACAGCUUUCUUGCGAGGCUGUGGUGACCAGGGCAGCACAGUCUGUCAUCACAGUGGGAAGCAGGACACUGGCUGGUUCUCCUUGUGACCCACAAAGUGGUUUUAACCCACAUCUCUGGAGCCAGCAGGACACUCCCCAUAUGCCAACCAGCCCAUAACACCUCAGACCUACCGGGCUAGUUUUACUUUCUUAUUUGCACUGCUUCCCUUUUGAAGGCACUACAAACACAAGUGAAACGCUUUGAGGACAGGGAAGGAAAGCCAGACGAGCAGCCAGCAGGAGCAGCGUGAAUGGGGUGACAGUCUUUGCAUAAGUUAUAACCUAGAGCAGAGGGAAUAUGCCUUUCUCAGAAGGAGUGGUUUCAAUUUCAUGCAGAUUUCUGACUCCUACAGCUAGUUAUGAUCCGCAGGAACAUUCAGAAAGAGUUUUUUUUUUUCCUUCUUUUGAUCCUUUUCAUCCCUCCUACAAAGACCUUUGUUAUUUUAUAGCCUGGACCACAAGUUUCUCACACAGAGCAAGAAAGAGUCCAAAAUAAAUUAAAAGAUGAAAUUAAAUGGACUGCACUUGUAAUGAAAAGGUAAAGGUGACCAAACUCUUUUACCUGAUGCAACAUAACGAAGUUUCAAAUUCUGAUUGAAUUUUUUCCUGGUUUGACAUUAAAACACACUUUCUUUCCAAUUAUACAGUUUCUUAAGUGUUUCUGCCUAACAUUUCUCCAACUUGGAUCUAGCUAAAAGACAAAGGGCUUGAGGUUUUAUUUGUUUGUUUGUUUGUUUUCCCAGCAACAUAGUAGAAAAUGCAGUGCAAGCUUUAAUGACUAUGUCUGUUUUAACAUGCCUUUUGGAGGACUGUAGGCAUUUAUGGGGGAACAAGGUAAUUAACAUAUUACUUGGGCAUGCAAAGACAAGUUCAAAGCAGCUGUCUUUCUUCUCUUGAUAUGGCAACACAAUCAUUAAAACAAUGCCUUCUUAUAUCUUUCUUUUUUUCCUCUCUGUGUUCACAGACCACUCAAGUUGCUUGUUUAAGUCAAAGCUUUAAGAGCUUGCCAAAUUUUCUGGACCAGUAAUUUCUGUCUCUAACACACUGUUCCCUCUUACUUAUUUGAAGUAGCAAAAUAAAAAUCAAUACCUCAAUCCCUUUAAGGAAAUGUUGAACUCAAGUGCUCCCAUAAUCUCAUUUCAGCCUCUAAAUAAAUUACUUCUAUAGUACAUCCAUUUUUCUUCCAAACUUUCCAGAUUUUCCACCUAUUAAUCUAGAACCUUCAUGGUUCUUCACAUUAAUCUCACCUUCACGGAUGUGGUGAGAGGUGGGUUUAGCUGAUCCAGCCCACUGUGAGAGGUGUCAGGUACCCCUGAAAAAUCUGGGAAGCACAAGCAGAUGGAGGAAGGAUCCUGUUGAGACACUUCCUGCCAUGCAGAAAUCCAGGUGGGUAGGUGAGGGGGGAUGCCUAAACCGGUGUUUCUAAAUCACAGGGUCAAGGAGCCGAUUGUUGCUCUAGGCAGAAACAAGCACCCUGCCAGCUUGAUAACAACAGAGCUGAGACACAGAUUACAGUUCCUUUAAUUUUCUUCCAGUUAAUUAAAUGAUCAAUUGCAGCGCUGGCUUUCAGCCAUGGCAGUGCCAGCUGAAAUGAGCUCUCCAGCUUCUGAGAGGGUAAUCAAUAGGCAUCAUUUGCAGCAGCGAUGUAGGGCUUUAUUUUAAAGCCAAAUAUUAAGAUGCAGAGGCAACAUACUGCUCAGCAAACAGAUCUUCAGCCCCCAAAAAAUUCCCAGUGAAGAAUGGCACAAGUAUUUACAGCUUUAGCUUGCAUUGUGUUUUCACUUCUCUGCUUACCAUAGACUUCCUGCAUGACCACAGAAAAAACACUUAGGUCCAGAUAUGCAAAAGUAUCUGGCAGCUGAGAUAAAAAUCAGUUGGACCUAGAUACAUAAAUAGUCUGUGGAUCUGGUCCUUUGGAAAGGAGACUGAGUUCUCCACUUAGGAACGGUGUAAUAGAUACUUUCUACCAGAACUGCAACAACUCCUGGCACAAAAAGCCAAGGCCAAGUAAGAGCUGAGGUUGGGCAGUGACUGAACAGCUCCAGGUAUCUGGCCACAAAGCAGCAUCUGAGCAUUCUGCCUGGUGUCUUCUCCUCAGUGCUACCCACCUUAGCCAGCAGCAAGAGAGACCAGCAUAUCCUUUGAUGGCUUUCCAGUUGUUUUCUUGGUUCAAACUCUCCAUUCCUUUAGCUGGAGAUGCUGUGGAGAGCAGGAAGGAUGAAGUGUGAGGCAGUGAACAAGGACCACCAGUGCUGGGUUGUCAGAGCACUUUGGCAGGUGAGAAAAUCAGAAAAAGUAAUAUAAUGGAGGCAUAGAAUGGGCUGGGGGCAUUCCUAUAUUGUUAAGGAGGAAUUAGGCAAGGUUCUGGUAGGAACUAAUAACCCCAGCAUUUCAGAGCCCAGGAAACCCCUGGGUUUAUAUGCCAAAAGAUGUCAACACAGGAUGGAAGGAGUUUGCCAGGGAACUGAGUAAGCAAAAUUCAGAACCAUAAUGACAAAGUUGGUGCAUCAAACCUCACUUUACUAUCUUGAGAUCAAGUGUUAAAUAAUGAAAUGUUCAUCUGUAAGAGGCAACUCAUAAGCGUGGGAAACAAAGAUUUGUAGGAACUUGAUCUAGAUAAGAAUGACCACAGCCCUCACUGUUUUCAGAACCAAAUGAAAAUUUGUUUAUGCUGACUGCUUUUGCUCAGGGCAAGCCUUUAGCACAUAUAGGUAUUCAUGCACUCAACAGAGAGAGACACACAAGCUAAUCAAUUUUUGUUUUUUGGAACAAGAGAAAAAGUUGGUUCAUGGAUGUAAUUUUCAUUUUUAGUUGAGAAGCCCUUGGUUCAUCAUGAACAAAGCACAUCAUCACAAAAAUGGAUGGCAAGGGGAGAAACCAGUUAAAUUUCAUCACCAUUUCGUGACUUUAUUUUUAAAAAUGCAAGAGGAUUGUAGCAAUAGCAUCUCUACUACUCAUUUAUUUUACUAGAACUGUUACGCAAAACUGAGAGAAGGCAGCACUGCUGCAAUCUCCCCCAGGUAAAAGCAAGCGUAGGCCUGAGUACAGCAGCUCGUGGAUUACUGAUAGGACCAGCAGCUGAACAACUUCUCCCAAAGCAGCAGAAAAGAAAUCUAAUUGCAGGAGUAGAGCAUGUAUUUCUGAGAGGGAAGGAUCCAUUCUGGUCUAACAGGAACACUUUUGAAAGGUUUUAAAUUCAUAUAAGCUUGAAAAUAAACAAACAAAAAUCAACCCCUUAGGGAAUGACCUCAGUGACAUCUGAGGCUCCUCUCUAGCCAGCCUGGCUGGCUGAGCAGUGUCCCUUACUUGGCAUCUUGGUGUGACCUUUCUUCCCCACAGGUAUGUGCAGAGGAGGGGGCAGAGCUCGUGUGAGGUGUCCCCAGUGCACCACACCGCAGCAAAGGCAGGGACAGGCAGCCUGCCCCGACUCUGUGGCUUCUCAGUGGAAGAGAUGUGAAAACACAGCCACAAAAAUAAAACCCAAUAAAACCCACCCCUUUUCCCCUCAAAAUAGGCUUGGCUCAAUCCAAAGGUCAUUGUCAGCCCACUGACUUCUUCUAGAUCACAUAGACAACCCGUCAGCUCCUCAGGGAUUCAGUCUCCAAAUUCACAGAUCUGUGAGGUAACCACAAUCUUCCUAACAGAGAUUUUUUACAAACAAAAAGUCCCUCAUAUGUUUUUACUCCAUCAAGAAAAGACAAGUAGCUUGCAUCAUACAACUUUUAUGGUUUUUCCCUGCUAAGCAAACUCAUGUUAAAAAAAGGCUGAAAGUGACCUAAAUGAGCAAAAAACUACCCAGGAGCAAUGUUUAUUUUGCAGAACAGAAUUCUGUUCAGGAGCCCUCAUUAAUGUGAAAAGUUUCCGCAUGACCUCAGAGUUUCUGUAGCCUGUGAGCGUCCUGCAGCCUCUGCUGCAUGUAAAGAAAUGGUAAAGAAAUUGCUGCUGCAACCCCGUGGAGAGAGUAAUGAAGUUCUGUCAAUCAUGUCUGA